CCUACGGGAGGCCGCAGUGGGGAAUUUUGCACAAUGGGGGAAACCCUGAUGCAGCUACUCCGCGUGAGUGAAGAAGUAAUUCGUUAUGUAAAGCUCUAUCAGCAGGGAAGAAAAUGACGUUACCUGAAUAAGAAGCCCCUGCUAAAUACGUACCAGCAGCCGCGGUAUUACUUAGUGGGCGAGCGUUCGCCGGAUUUACUGGGUGUAAAGGGAGCGUAGACGGCAGUGCAAGACUGGAGUGAAAGGCGGGGUCUCAACCCCCGGAAGACUCUGGAAACUGUACGGCUGGAGUGCCGGAGAGGUAAGUGGAAUUCCUAGUGUAGCAGUGAAAUGCGUAGAUAUUAGGAGGAACACCAGUGGCGAAGGCGGCUUACUGGACUGUAACUGACGUUGAGGCUCGAAAGCGUGGGGAGCAAACAGGAUUAGAUACCCCGGUAGUC
rnacentral:rRNA from 1 species